GAGCACGUAGGUGGGUUUGUAAGUCAGAUGUGAAAGCCUUCUGUUCAACGGAAGAAUUGCAUCUGAACCUGCGAGUCUUGAGUGUAGGAGGGGAGAAUGGAACUUCUGGUGGAGCGGUGAAAUGCGUAGAUAUCAGAAGGAACUCCGGCGGCGAAAGCGAUUCUCUGGCCUAUUACUGACACUCAGUGUGCGAAAGCUAGGGGAGCAAACGGGAUUAGAUACCCCGGUAGUCCUAGCCGUAAACGAUGGGCACUAAGUAGAGGGGUUUU
rnacentral:rRNA from 1 species